ensembl:lncRNA VLDLR-AS1 VLDLR antisense RNA 1
GCAAGGCAAGAAAGAAGCCGUACGUGAACAGCCUCUGCUUUAGGCCCAGAAGGAAAAGAAGCUUACAGGAGACAAUCAGUCUUACACUCUUCCAUGGUCACAAACAAGAGGUCCCUGGAUCUACAGGGGACUUGGUGCUAUCAGAGGAGGUCAUCAUGUUGGAAAACAAGUUUUUUUAAAAGUAGAAGUCAUAAAGUUGAAGAAUUCAGUGACUUUUGCAGGGAAAGAAGUACCUGAUUUAUGAACAGUCAUUAUCCUGAACUAUUUUGUAGAAAUGAUGUAACUGAUUGAUUUUUAAUAAGCAUUCAAAGUGUUACACAGCAAGUUUUGAUGCUUCCAACUGGACGAUGAGUAUCUAGGCCCACAUGCAAUAUGACUUUGCAACUCAUCCCAUCAGAGGAUGGAAACUAUUUCUUCACCCCCUUGAACCUGGGCUGGCUUUGUAAUUUGUUUUGGCCAAUAGAAUGUGGUGGAAGUGAUGGUGUUACCAGAAAGAGUUCCCAAUCCAGACUCGUGCGAGAAAGAAUUUGAGAAAUGAAAGAACCAGAGCAUUAUAGCAGAACGAAUCCUGGAAUGGGAAUGGAAUGCCUGGAUUUGUGGCACAGUUGGGAAGCGUCCUGGCCAUGCCAUGUUAAAGCUGUCUCCAAGGCAGUGAUUCUUACCCUUGGCUACACAUUGGAGUCAUUUGGGAAGCUAGAAAAAAAAAAUGCCCAGGACCUGGGCAAGACGGCUGAAUAAGAACAGCUCUGGUCUGCAGUUCCUAGCAAGAUCAACGCAGAAGGGAAGCUGGCAGCCUGGGCUCUUGGAGAUUGUAUCUGGUGCCGGAGAGGACUGGCUCCCACACUCAGUGAGGGAGGAAUUUUACUGACCCAGCAUCCAGAUGAACUUUGGUGAGGAGAGGAGACGGAGUUUCACUGUUGUUGCCCAGGCUGGAGUGCAGUGGCGUGAUUUCAGCUCACGGCUACCUCUGCCUCCCGGGUUCAAGCAAUUCUCCUGCCUCAGCCUCCCAAGUAGCUGGGAUUACAGAUCAUGAACUGGCAGCCAUGUGGAAAGAAGACUAGACUGCGAAUCACUUAGGAUCCCACCCUCGGUUUAGUCUAGAAUACUCUGCGAAUCAGCUUUUUGGCCCUAGGAAAGAGACAAAUGGAAGCAAAAUAGCAAAAUGGUGAAGAGGAGGGUUCUAGAGGCAGAGAGCCCUGCAGUCCUGAGUCCUGAGUCCACCGUUUAACAGAGUGACUUUGCUCAGCCUGUGGAUUAUAAUGAAACUUGCCUGUUAUAGGAUCCAGUUUUUUAGGUGGUAGCAACAUGCUCAAGGAAGAUGCAGCCCCUUCCUCCAGCCUGAGAGAAUAAAGCAUCAUUGGCUUAUGCCAACCAUGGCAAUCCCAUUCCCCUUUUCUCAUGAUUGAUUUGGGAAUGGGCAAGUGACCCAGUUCUAACCAAUGAGACGAAAGAAAAAGUCUAUUGGUCAGCUUAUCUCAGAAGAUUUUUGUUUCCUGCUAUAAAGAGAAACAGUAAGUUCCUUCCUGCCUGACUUAAAUGCAAUUGUGUGCAAACAUGUUACUUGGAGCUACAGCAACGAUUCUGUGACCAUGAGGCAAUAAGCCAAGGACAAAGGAUAGAAUAGUGAAAAGACAGAGUAUUGGAUUUUUUUUAUGAUAUCAUUGAACUGCUGGACCAAUGUGGAACCAUCUACUUUUAGUCUUUCAUGAUUUGUGAGAUGAUUAAACAUUUCUUUUUUUUAGCCAUUAUUUCUUUUCUGUUACUUGCAACUGAAGACAUCCUACAUAAUACAAACACUAUCCAACUUGGAUUGUAAUUUAUCUAUUUUCAGAUCUGUGUGUUCUGUCUUACUGAUUUUUGUAUUCUUAGCACUGAGUAUAAGGCUGCUACUUAGUAAGACUUCAAUAAAUGACUGUUUAAAAAGGUCUUAGAGGAUUUAAAAAAAAUUCUGAAGUUGCUGAAAUAUGAA